rnacentral:tRNA from 1 species
GAGGGUAUAGCUCAGUGGAAGAACUCUUGCUUAGCAUGCACAAGGUCCUGGGUUCAACACCCAGUACCUCCA